CGACGCCAUAGGGUCGAUCAGAGUAUAUCUCUUUGCUCGACCUUCCUUCUUCCUCCCCACUUCACUCAGCAACCCAGAAAAACCAGAGACCCCAUUUUCUCAGCCAAAACCCUCGCCUCCACCACCUUCUCCCCACCCUAUCUCCCUCAUUUCUCAACCAUUUCAGCCCAUUUUUUUUUUAAAAUCCUCCAUUUUCGAUACUUAAUAACAUACACCUAAAAAGUUUUGAUUUUUUAGCCUCUAAAAGUGUCAUCCGAACCCAAAUAGUAAAUUUUGGGUGUGAAAUCCGGCCACCCAUUUUUGUUGAGAAAUUGUUCAAUCUCAACCUCGUUUAAGUGUCGGGAUUUUUUACGGUGGUCGUCGGAUUGCGGUUAUUAGGUAAUAAUUUAUACCACAAUGUAUAGUAUAUAUAUGUAUUUGUAUAUUUUAUUGAAUAUUUGUAUAUAAUGUGUGUAUAUAUUGUGUGUGUAUAUAGUGUGUGUAUAUUUUUUAUGAAAAUAAAUUUUGUAAUUGUAUUUUAUAUAUUUUUUGCAAUAUAUAUUUAUUGUGAAUAAAAUGACAUUGGAGGGAUUUCAUUA